GGUUGUGGCGCAGUGGUAGAGUGCUUGCCUAGCAUGCAGGAUGCACUGGGUUCAAUCCCCAGAACCA
rnacentral:tRNA from 1 species